GACGAACGCUGGCGGCGUGCUUAACACAUGCAAGUCGAACGAAGCUUGAUUACGGAUUCUUCGGAUGAAGUAUGAUAUGACUGAGUGGCGGACGGGUGAGUAACGCGUGAGUAACCUGCCCUUCAGAGGGGGAUAGCGUUUGGAAACGAACGGUAAUACCGCAUAAUGUAUUUUGACAGCAUGAUCGAAAUACCAAAGAUUUAUCGCUGAAGGAUGGACUCGCGUCUGAUUAGGUAGUUGGUGGGGUAACGGCCUACCAAGCCGACGAUCAGUAGCCGGACUGAGAGGUUGAUCGGCCACAUUGGGACUGAGACACGGCCCAGACUCCUACGGGAGGCAGCAGUGGGGAAUAUUGCACAAUGGGCGCAAGCCUGAUGCAGCAACGCCGCGUGAAGGAAGACGGUUUUCGGAUUGGAAACUUCUGUUCUUAGUGAAGAAUAAUGACGGUAGCUAAGGAGCAAGCCACGGCUAACUACGUG
rnacentral:rRNA from 1 species